GGGUCCUGGGCGUACGUGGUUGGUUGACGCGUGUCGGGAUCGAUGGCGCCGCCACCGCCAGCCAGCAGGCCGGCCGCUUCGGCGCGUGGGCAGGUCGGGCCGCCGCCGGCCCCCAUCGGCGUGGUGGGGCGGCAGUUGGUGACGAGAGGACGAGAAGGCGACGAUCGAGCAAGGAACAAGAACGAGAUGCAAUCGCUAAAGCGUCGACGCGGUGACGGUGACAAAGCGUCUGGAGGAGCGCCGCCUCUACCUCAUCUUUGAUGACUGGCCGUGGCCCCAGCUCGGCCGCGCGGGCGCGGGGCUGCAGCGCGGGGGCUCGGCCUCAGGCGGCGCGGGCCCAGCCUCCCGACGGCGUGGGGGCGCGGCGCCAGCGGCCAGUGGCGGGGCAACCCCAGGCGCCCCACCCGCCGCCGCUGCCAGCCCGCACUCCGGGUCGAGACAGGCGGCGACCGGCGACCCCAGCCUCGCGGCUCCUGCGCCCCGCUCCUCUCCAGCGUCGAUUUAGCUUGCUCCUCUCGCCAUGCCCUACGCCUCCAGCGGCCUAGAGAAGUGAUGCCCGUCGAGGUCCGGCUUGCAGACUGGGCGACGGCGCGAGUACCCGUUCCGGCUUUCAGCUUCACGACAUGCUACCUUGAUGGUCGCUAUGUACUGUGAGUUCUUGUUGUUCCUCUCUGUUCAUUCAUCUCCAACACAACGUGCACAUACACCUGCUUUUGCCAUCCAAUUAGGUUUGGUCAUCCGAUUCUAUUUAAGUCCAAACCUCCCAUACCCUCUAACCUGCACAGACCACUUCGGUUGGUAUCCUAUUAUUGGCAACCUGCGCUGUUGCAGUGCCAGGUCCAGGUGAAAAGAAGAAAUGGCUGCUGAGAUACGUCAGUGCAGAUUUAGAGGCAGGCAAUGUCAGAAGAUAGAGGAGUGGCAGAAGUAGAGCAAACUACAUCCGGUGGCAAAGAUGUUGAUACCCGACCCGAACCUGAGUACUUCAAAUGCAUAAGUUGUUCUGAGAAACAUGCAUAUCAGGUACC